rnacentral:ncRNA from 1 species
UUAAAGACUAUGAAAAAGGAAAGUAACAUAGAGGAAGUUUACAGAGAGAAGAGGAUGCUGAGAACUUUUCAUCAAGAAUUUAUGUGAAGUGCCCUUUGGAGUUUAAGCCUGAAUUUAUAGUAAGGUUUUACGGGUUCACCCGUUAUAGUGAUCAGGUAUAGUAUUGUACCGUAAGCAAGAGUGAGAUUAUAUAUAUAAUCUAAUUAGAGUGGAACCGCGAAGUAACUUCGUCUCUAUA